CAGCCAGGAAGGAGGAGGCAGCCAGAGUGGCCACCACUGGUCUCUGCAGCAGAAGACUCCUUGCUGCCAGUGCCAUAAAAGUAAAAAAAGAAAAAGCAACCCCCCACCACACACACACAACCAUGAGGCAAGAAAGAGCUCCCAGUGCUUCUUCUACCACAUCAAGUGCUACAGCUCACCAAAUUAGUUAAGAAACAGUCAGUGCCUAGAGGUGAAGGUCUGAAAUUCCAUGUAGUCCAAGCUACAUGUAGUACUUUCACCAGAAGAAACACCAAGAUUACAUGGGAAUAGAAGCAGAGGUGCACCUAGGCAAUUUUGGAGCCUGGACCUAGAGGCCUUUGGAGCCCCCCCCCCUCAAAAAUUAAGCAUCAUCAUGCUUGGCCAGGCAACCACACCAUCCAGAACAGACUGAAGAGGAUUUGUGGGGUCCUGGGGCUGUGGAUGCCCUGGACUUCAGCCCGGAAGUCCAGGGUAAGAGCGCCACUGGAUAGAAGGCUGACAUUCAACUCACAAUGGUCGCCCAGCUCUGUAGCCUUGAGGAGAUGAGUUGCAUAUAGACUAAUGGGCUCCUCAGGAAAAUCGUUGUCUAUAGUGAGAACAAACUGCAGCAGCAAUUUUACAAGAAGCAGUACUGGGAACUACCUGGCACUUCCAUGCAACUGAACAUUGCAACUGAAAAUUAACAAACACACACCCUCAGGAAGCCGGAAAUGUAGCUUCUGUAAGACAAAGCCUUCCUUUUGGGAGGCUGGCUUCCAUCUAAAAUAUUUUUAGAUGGAAAAAUGAGUGGCAAUGGGAAUUGAACCUAUACAUCCCAUUCCUCAGUGUAAAGUGCUGACCAUGAAGCCACAGGAACAGAGAGAUGAGAAGCUUAUGAUAAAGCAUUUGAACUCUCUCAUGAGCAGCCAGAUCCUUGACACAUCCUUUCCCCUCCUCCCCCAAUGCCAUGUAUGAGAGGAUCCUGGACAUAUAGCCUAGUGGUGACAGAGGACUUUGUCAUGUGUUUAUAAACUUUAGUUGCAACUCUGUUUCCAAAAAUAUCCUGAUUUCCCAGUGCAGAAACUGCUCUCUUGGAGAAGGCUCCCAGACAGUGCACCACACCAAGCACUGGUCAAAAAGGGAACUGCAGCAAGUUAAACCAGAUCAACAAGACCCUGCCCUCAAAUACCUAAUGGGACAGAGCAGGUCAUGUGACUGCAACAACAGCUUCUUGGGUCCGUCUUUUGGGCUACCUACCAA